rnacentral:rRNA from 1 species
UGGGGAAUAUUGCACAAUGGGCGCAAGCCUGAUGCAGCCAUGCCGCGUGUGUGAAGAAGGCCUUCGGGUUGUAAAGCACUUUCAGCGGGGAGGAAGGCGAUAAGGUUAAUAACCUUGUCGAUUGACGUUACCCGCAGAAGAAGCACCGGGUAACUCCGUGCCAGCAGCCGCGGUAAUACGGAGGGUGCAAGCGUUAAUCGGAAUUACUGGGCGUAAAGCGCACGCAGGCGGUCUGUCAAGUCGGAUGUGAAAUCCCCGGGCUUAACCUGGGAACUGCAUUCGAAACUGGCAGGCUAGAGUCUUGUAGAGGGGGGUAGAAUUCCAGGUGUAGCGGUGAAAUGCGUAGAGAUCUGGAGGAAUACCGGUGGCGAAGGCGGCCCCCUGGACAAAGACUGACGCUCAGGUGCGAAAGCGUGGGGAGCAAACAGG